rnacentral:rRNA from 1 species
AGCAGCCGCGGUAAUUCCAGCUCCAAUAGCGUAUAUUAAAGUUGUUGCAGUUAAAAAGCUCGUAGUUGAAUUUCGGGGUCAGCAGGCUGGUCGUGCCACAGGUAUGUACUGGUCUUACUGAUUCCUCCUUCCUGAUGAACCGUAAUGCCAUUAAUUUGGUGUUGCGGGGAAUCUGGACUGUUAACUUUGAAAAAAUUGGAGUGUUUAAAGCAGGCUAACGCUUGAAUACAUUAGCAUGGAAUAAUGAAAUAGGACGAUCGAUCCUAUUUUGUUGGUUUCUAGGAUUGACGUAAUGAUUAAUAGGGAUAGUUGGGGGCAUUAGUAUUCAAUUGUCAGAGGUGAAAUUCUUGGAUUUAUUGAAGACUAACUACUGCGAAAGCAUUUGCCUAAGGAUGUUUUCAUUAAUCAAGAACGAAAGUUAGGGGAUCGAAGACGAUCAGAUACCGUCGUAGUCUUAACCAUAAACUAUGCCGACUAGGGAUCGGAUGAUGUAAUUUUUAAUGACUCAUUUGGACG